rnacentral:lncRNA from 1 species
UGAAUUCAGAAAUCCUCCCAUCAUUUGUAGAGGCGAUAAUGUUCAGAACCUCGGAUAGCAAUGCAAUCAAACUCAUCGGAAUGUCUGUAACCUGAAUUUUCCUGCAUAAGCAUAGGAGGAAACCAAACAAUGAGACUCUUCUUCAGAAUGCAUCAUGAGUGUAAAUAGUACUUGUAACUAACUGAAAGAGAAGGCAGCCUAACCCCUAACCUGCUUGUGAAGUCACUUUCGUUUUGCAGCAAAGCAACAUACUACACUGUGAACUCGAUUCAUAACUGAAAGGCUUGACACAAGAAUAGUUGACUGACGUAGCUGGCAAGAAGAAACACUAACCUGCAUCCAAAACGUACUUCCAUUUGGCAGAGUAAAGCAACACAACUUGCAAAAUGAGUUCAAUUUUCAUCUGUCAGAUCAAGAAUGGUGAGGUCAGGCACUAAGAAGAAAUCAUCAGAUCGAUGUGAAGAAUCGACACAGAUUGAACGGUGCUGUCCUGAACCAGACACCCAUACACGCUGAAACUUCUACCUGACUGGCAAAAUCAGUGGUGCUGCCGGUAGCCGUCCUUUUGGAAGGGAGCACGCACAGGGGCACCUGCAGCCUGCAGGACAACCACAUAAGAAGCAAUGUUAGGCAAAGGAGAAUCGAAUCGAACAUAAAGAGCACAUAUCGGAAAACCCAGAAAAUUGAAAGGCUAGCCGAAGCAUCGCAAGGAAGAACCUGCAGUAACUAGUAGAAAUACUCGUGCUUUGCUACAAGUUCUUACUUGCUCUCACGUUAUUAUUUGUUUGUUCCUAAUAUGUUGGCUUCGCUUCAUAAUAUGUUGGUGCGUUGUCCAUAAUAGUCCUCUCUUUGCAAGUACAGUAGUAGAAGACAUUCGUGGGUGGUAUGAUACCAUCUGUUUAUUACGUGGGACCCACACAUGGAACUCGUGCGUUCCGACGGAAGCGGGGGCGGGCACAACUCUGCGUGGCGUACCGCCGUUUGGAGUCCCAUUGCCGCGGUAAAAGUCGACCUACGAUGGGAGUGGCGUCAAGAUGUAUGUCGACGAUGACCGCGCAACCGUUGUUGGGUUCGUGAAUAGAAACAAAACUAAGGAUGGGAAUGAUUAAGUUUGAAGGCUGCAUUUUUUUAAUACAAAUUUUUGCAUACGAUCUCGGAUGAUUACAAAUUUUAUAUCAAAAUUGUAGAGCUCGAUGAGAUUUUAAACUUUGUAGUUGACAACUUUUUCCUUUGAGAUAGUUUAGUAGUCCAAAAAUAUGUUAUAACUUCAGAGAAGAAACACAUUUGUCACGUCAUCGAUCCACAACUCCGAAACCGAGCAUUCCUAUUGGUCGAACUCUCCUCCCACCUUUCCCUCUCAACCAGCCAACCUUAUCUCCUCCCCCCUCUCUCUUCUCUCCCACAUCUCUCUCCCGACCCUAUCUCCUCUCUCUCUUCUCUCCCACCUCUCUGGCGCGCCCCCGCGGAGGAGUCCUGGCGGCCGGCGCAGCCACCUCGGCCUGACCCCGGCGGCGGAGGCAGCAGGCACGGCGGAGGCGACCGACGUGGUCACCAACGGCGCGGGUGGCUGGCCGGCUCUAGCUCCACGGCGGCGACAGACGGCGCAGCCCAGGCGAGGUCGGCUGGCGCGGCGGCUCGACCCCGGCGCGAGCGCCUCCACCUCCACAAUUGCAGUAAAGUUUGGGGAUCUUUUUGCAAAAUCGUCAAGACAUAUUACAAGGACUACGGGUUGAUUACGAAAGUUGAGGGACUUUUUUUAUUACGAAAGUUGAGGGACUUUUUUUUUUCAAAAAGAUCACGAUGGUUGGAAGAAAUAUUAGGGGGUGUUUGGAUACACCCCCGUAAAUUUUAGUACCCGUCACAUCGGAUGUUUGGAUACUAAUUAGGAGUAUUAAAUAUAGUCUAAUUAUAAAACUAAUUACACAGAUGGAGUCUAAUUCGUGAGACGAAUCUAUUAAGCCUAAUUAGUCCAUGAUUUGACAAUGUGGUGCUACAGUAACCAUUUGCUAAUGAUGGAUUAAUUAGGCUUAAUAGAUUCGUCUCGCGAAUUAGUAUGGGGGUUCUGCAGUUAGUUUUAUAAUUAGCUCAUGUUUAGUUCUCCUAAUUAGCAUCCGAACAUCCGAUGUGACCCCUCCUAAAGUUUAGUACCCCGAUCCAAACACCCCCUAGGUAUAGAUAGAACGGGGUAAUCUUUUACCUGAAGAUUAUCGGCAUCGUGUUCCCCGCCGGCGACGAAAUUGCCAUCUCACCGUGGCCACUUUACUGAUGGACGUUGGUCACUUCGUCAGCAGGAGGGGACCAUGGAUGAAGACGCCAGAGCAAUCAGAGUUGAUAGCUUACGGAGAGGAGUACAGGAGGAAGGCAGUGGUCGAGGAAGACACCUGAAGUACUGGCUUGCAGCAGGGUAGCGAUGGCGUGUAGGGUGUAGGUGGCCGGCCAUCGGCCUGAGGUCACACGCCGUUGGGCGGAUAGUGGUGGCAAUGGCGACGGCCAUGGCGGCAGCGGCGACAGACCGAGGAGUGGCCAUGGCGGCACUGAGGCAUCGAAUGGGCCCAUCCGGCCAUGGGGGCAGCGACGGCUCGAGGCGUGGCCACGACAACGUUGAGGCAUGGGAUGGGCCCAGCCAGCCAUGGGGGUGGGGACGACUUGCGGGACAAGCAGCAUCAAACAGGGGGAAGCGGAGGAGGGAGAGAUUGGGCUGCGGCGGAGAACGGAGGAGGAGGCGGCGGAGGACGGAGCGACGGGCGGUUCGAUUUCUUCAAGAGGCAAGGAUGAAGCCCAUGACCGGCGGCAGCUGUUCCCCACCGCGUGAAGCGCACGCAGUAAGAAGGGCGGCUGGACACACGGCGUCAGGCGACAAACGGGAGCGACGUCGAGGCUCCGGAGGGCAGCG